GACAGAGGAUGCAAGCGUUAUCCGGAAUGAUUGGGCGUAAAGCGUCUGUAGGUGGCUUUUUAAGUCCGCCGUCAAAUCCAGGCUCAACCCUGGACAGGCGGUGGAAACUACCUAGCUGGAGUACGGUAGGGGCAGAGGGAAUUUCCGGUGGAGCGGUGAAAUGCGUAGAGAUCGGAAAAGAACACCAACGGCGAAAGCACUCUGCUGGGCCGACACUGACACUGAGAGACGAAAGCUAGGGGGAGC
rnacentral:rRNA from 1 species